UUUGGGGAGAGGCUCUCCAGCAGCUCCGAGUGCUGCCCCGCCAAGCUCUGAAGCUUGUCCUUGAGAGCAUUGACGAGGUCGGCUCUAUCCUCGGCGGUCAGAGCUGGUGAGUCGGAGGGGAGGGCGGAGCCAAGAUCGGAGAGAUCGAGGGUGCCUUUCUCGUUGCUCAUGGCGGCGGCUGAUUUUCACGCUGAGAGAGGAGAGAGAAG
rnacentral:misc_RNA from 1 species